rnacentral:misc_RNA from 1 species
GAUGAAGAACGUAGUGAAAUGCGAUAAGUAAUGUGAAUUGCAGAAUUCAGUGAAUCAUCGAAUCUUUGAACGCACCUUGCACUCCUUGGUAUUCCGAGGAGUACGCCUGUUCGAGUGUUAUGAAGCUCUCAAAACGCAAUUGGCUUAAAACCUGAUUGUUGUUUUGGAUUUGAACUUUGCCGUGUUACAACGGCUGGUUUUAAAAGCAUUAGCUGGUACUAGAACGAAUUGGUUCUACUCAACGUGAUAAUUAUCUGAUCGUUGAGGACAUUCCUUUCACGAGGAAUGGCCAUAGUAAAUUCAAUGGACUGCUUCUAACUUGGAUUUAAUUCUUAAUUGGAUUAACCACUUUUCAAAUCUGACCUCGAAUCAGGUGGGACUACCCGCUGAACUUAAGCAUAUCAAUAAGCGGAGGA